rnacentral:rRNA from 1 species
CCUACGGGAGGCAGCAGUGGGGAAUAUUGCACAAUGGGGGAAACCCUGAUGCAGCGACGCCGCGUGAGUGAAGAAGUAUUUCGGUAUGUAAAGCUCUAUCAGCAGGGAAGAAAAUGACGGUACCUGACUAAGAAGCCCCGGCUAACUACGUGCCAGCAGCCGCGGUAAUACGGAGGGGGCAAGCGUUAUCCGGAUUUACUGGGUGUAAAGGGAGCGUAGACGGCCAGACAAGUCAGAAGUGAAAGCCCAGGGCUCAACCCUGGGACUGCUUUUGAAACUGGCGGGCUAGAGUGCAGGAGAGGUAAGCGGAAUUCCUAGUGUAGCGGUGAAAUGCGUAGAUAUUAGGGGGAACACCAGUGGCGAAGGCGGCUUACUGGACUGUAACUGACGUUGAGGCUCGAAAGCGUGGGGAGCAAACAGGAUUAGAUACCCCAGUAGUC